rnacentral:rRNA from 1 species
AUUACCGAUUCUAAUACCUAACUCACUGUGCACUCGGUCGCUGCAAGCGCUCUCCUCUCGGGGUUGGCCAACUGGCCAUUAAAUCGGUUCUGGGCUGUAACAGGCUUUCAGUUCUGGGCCCCGAUUGGAGUUUUGCUCGCAGCGGUCUUCUUGAACCUUUUUCAACCUUGCAACUUUGCAGACUGUACUGUCGGGCUUUCUAUAUCGAAAGCUUGUCUUGAUUCUUAAUCAUGGACAACUUUCAACGGUGGAUCUCUUGGCUCGUGGAUCGAUGAAGAACGCAGCAAAACGCGAUAUGUAGUGUGAAUUGCAGAAUUCAGUGAAUCAUCGAAUCUUUGAACGCAAAUGGCGCUUUUGGGUAUUCCCAAGAGCAUGUCUGUCUCAGUGUCGUUUUCACCUCGAGCACGCCACGGCGUGGUGGUCAUGAGGCGUCUGAGAAGCCCUGGUUGCUCUCAGUCCCUUGAAAUGGAGUGGCCGGACAGUUGUGUGCUUUUCGGGUCGGUUCGCCCCGUCUUCGCUCGCACGGCUGAUGGUGAGAUUCCUCGUAAUCUCCCUUGUCGUGUCGCAGCGGUCGGGAUGAGCUGUGUCCGGAUAUACGGCCCUGUGUCCGAAACAAGCCAGUUCUGGAAAACAACACGUUUCUGUCUCCGAUGGAAACAUCUUCGACCUGAGAUCAGGCAAGACUACCCGCUGAAUUUAAGCAUAUUAAUAAGCGGAGGAACA